GCACCAGUAGCUCAGCUGGAUAGAGCAUUCGCCUUCUAAGCGAACGGUCGCAGGUUCGAAUCCUGCCUGGUGUG
rnacentral:tRNA from 1 species